UUUCCUAUCUGAACUAUCACCAUCUACUUAACUAGAUGUGUUUUAAUACUUAGAUCGUGAUAGUUCAUAUAAAAAAAA